UGGAUUAUUUUCAAGAAAUAACUUUUUAAAUAAAAUACUUGAAAUAACUUGAAAAGAAGGCCAGCCAUGCUAGGAAGCUAAUAUGAUAACAUUAAACUUGAUAAGUUACACCAAAAUCUCAAGAGUAGUUUGAGACUUCGAAAACUGUACAAAACAAAAGGUUGGGUGUAACUACAACAUUAUAUUUUCCAAAAAUAUUUACUUGACGCGCCCAUUCGAUCCUCUACGCGUCUCCAACCUUAGUUACCUGAAAAUGUUAAAUAUGGGAUGAGCAUAUGAAAUAUACUCAGUGUGGGAACAUGCAAUAAUUGUCCACGUUAAUAAAAUGGGAAUCACAUAUGAUCAAUACAUUCGUAACUGAAAGUCGCACGGUGGCAUACCAAGGACCUUUCCGUCUUGGACCGAUUGAGCCGGCCCCUGGCGACUGGUUGCAACCCUAACUUUAACAUGAAAUCGCAUUGUGGCAUACCAAGGACUGUGAAGUCCUGGACCCAUUGAGCGGGCCCCUAGCGAUAUAAUUUAAUGCAACAACACAUAUGGCAAACACAUAAUAUUAAAAUGGACAACAAUUAACCACAGCAUGUACUGAAAUAAAUCCCACACCUGAAACUUUAACUUUGAAAUUGACUGGGAGAAAUUAAAGUUCACGUUCCUAGUCGCGCCGCACCUAGUCAUAUAAAUUCAAAUAAUAAAACAUAAGGCCUAAUUGAUCUUUAUUAGCAAAAUAAUCUAUACUUUAGAAAAUUAUUCAUGAAAGUCUUUAAAAAAAAACUAAAAAAUUAGGAAAUGAUAAUUAAAGAAAUAAUUGUGGGCUUAAAUAAAUUAUACUUGCUAUUAAAAGAUUAACUAAGUCAAAAGCCCAAUAGAUUAAAAACAAAUAAGGCUCAAGCCCAUACUUAAAGCCCAACAUCUCUCUAUCUCUCUCUUAAAUCCCUCUCUGCACUCUCUAUUCAACACACACACGCACACUCUCACACACACUCACACACCAGCGCACCCUCUCUCUCUCUCCCUCGUCUUCCGCCGCCGCCGCCCGACCGCGGCGCCGCCCGACGUCUCCCUCUCCUUCCCAGCCUUCCUCUCUCCCCCAACCUCUCUCUCCGUCGCGGCCAGACAACCAUCUGACGCCGCCCCCUGCUCCGGCGACCCUCGCCGCCAGCCACCACCCUCUCCUGCCCGGCAUCACCUUCACCUCCUGGCCGACAGCAGCAGCGGGGCUGCCAUCGCCGCCCUCUGCGUUGACAGCAGCACCGCCCGCCACCUGUUCCCUCUGUCGCCCGGAACAGCACGG
rnacentral:lncRNA from 1 species